rnacentral:ncRNA from 1 species
CGUUUUGCUUUUCGUCAGGGUGCGCAGGCUAGGGCCUGCGUUAAACGGGAAGCCGGUGCGUCCUCGGACAAGGCCGGCGCUGCCCCCGCAACGGUAAUCGACCGCAGACCUCGGUCUGCACGCCCGUUCAACAGCCACUGGGAAUGUCCCGGGAAGGCGAACCGGCGCGUCGACAGCCCGGAGACCGGCCCCGACGGAUUCGACAGGU